GUGCUUGUUUCAGCAGCACGUGUACUAAAAUUGGAACAACACGGAGAAGAUUAGCGUGGCCCUGUGCUAGGGUGACAGGCACAUUCAUGCAGUGUUCUGUGUUUUA